rnacentral:rRNA from 1 species
AGUGAACGCUGGCGGUAGGCCUAACACAUGCAAGUCGAACGGCAGCACAGUAAGAGCUUGCUCUUACGGGUGGCGAGUGGCGGACGGGUGAGGAAUACAUCGGAAUCUACUUUUUCGUGGGGGAUAACGUAGGGAAACUUACGCUAAUACCGCAUACGACCUACGGGUGAAAGCAGGGGAUCUUCGGACCUUGCGCGAUUGAAUGAGCCGAUGUCGGAUUAGCUAGUUGGCGGGGUAAAGGCCCACCAAGGCGACGAUCCGUAGCCGGUCUGAGAGGAUGAUCAGCCACACUGGAACUGAGACACGGUCCAGACUCCUACGGGAGGCAGCAGUGGGGAAUAUUGGACAAUGGGCGCAAGCCUGAUCCAGCCAUACCGCGUGGGUAAAGAAGGCCUUCGGGUUGUAAAGCCCUUUUGUUGGGAAAGAAAAGCAGCAGGUUAAUACCCCGCUGUUCUGACGGUACCCAAAGAAUAAGCACCGGCUAACUUCGUG